UAAGACGAACCGUGCGAACGUUGUUCGGAUUCACUGGGCUUAAAGGGCGCGUAGGCGGGUGAUCAAGUCCGGGGUGAAAUCCUUCAGCUCAACUGGAGAAUAGCCUUGGAUACUGGUCGCCUCGAGGGAGGUAGGGGCGGGCGGAACUUCCGGUGGAGCGGUGAAAUGCGUAGAUAUCGGAAGGAACGCCGGUGGCGAAAGCGGCCCGCUGGACCUCUUCUGACGCUGAGGCGCGAAAGCCAGGGGAGCGAACGGGAUUAGAUACCCCGGUAGUCCUGGCCCUAAACGAUGGGUACUAGAUUGUGGACUUAACAUGGGUUCACAGUCGAAGCAAAAGUGUUAAGUACCCCGCCUGGGGAGUAUGGUCGCAAGGCUG
rnacentral:rRNA from 1 species